rnacentral:rRNA from 1 species
UACGUAGGGGGCAGGCGUUGUCCGGAAUCAUUGGGCGUAAAGAGCGCGUAGGCGGUCCGGUAAGUCAGCUGUGAAAGUCAAGGGCUCAACCCUUGAAAGCCGGUUGAUACUGUCGGGCUAGAGUCCGGAAGAGGUGAGUGGAACUGCGAGUGUAGAGGUGAAAUUCGUAGAUAUUCGCAAGAACACCAGUGGCGAAGGCGGCUCACUGGCCCGGUACUGACGCUGAGGUGCGAAAGCGUGGGGAGCAACAGG